GAUGAACGCUAGCGGCAGGCCUAACACAUGCAAGUCGAACGGUAAGGUCUCUUCGGAGAUACACGAGUGGCGCACGGGUGAGUAACGCGUAUGCAACCUACCCUUAACUGGGGGAUAGCCCGGAGAAAUUCGGAUUAAUACCCCAUACCAUCAUAGAUUCGCAUGGAUUUAUGAUCAAAACUCCGGUGGUUAAGGAUGGGCAUGCGUGACAUUAGCUAGUUGGUGAGGUAACGGCUCACCAAGGCUACGAUGUCUAGGGGGCCUGAGAGGGUGGUCCCCCACACUGGUACUGAGACACGGACCAGACUCCUACGGGAGGCUG
rnacentral:rRNA from 1 species